CAGGACCCUCUGCAGAAGCAGGGAGCUCUGAGUCUGCACCUGGCAGGGAACUCUCAGCUGUGGCAUCUGUGAGGAAGGAAGGAGGGAGCUCUCUGUCCCGGGGACAAUGGCCAGAUUCUGCUUCCUGCUGUUCGUCUCUGUGGCCACCAGAGGGUGGAGUGCAGCAGUGGUCCAGGCUCCUGAGAUGUUCCAGGUGGGCAAAACCUGUGCCUCCUCCCUUUCUUUCCUGCCUAGAAGCUGCAAGGAACUCAAAGAAAGUUGCAAUAGAGCA